GACCGCGGGAAUUCGAUUAGGCCUAACACAUGCAAGUCGAGCGGUAGAGAGAAGCUUGCUUCUCUUGAGAAAAAAAAAACGGGUGAGUAAUGCCUAGGAAUCUGCCUGGUAGUGGGGGAUAGCGUUCGGAAACGGGCGCUAAUGCCGCAUACGUCCUAGCGGGAGAAAGCAGGGGACGUGCGGGCGUUGCGCUAUCAGAUGAGCCUAGGUCGGAGUAGGUGGUUGGUGAGGUAAUGGCUCACCAAGGCUACGAUCCGUAACUGGUCUGAGAGGAUGAUCAGUCACACUGGAACUGAGACACGGUCCAGACUCCUACGGGAGGCAGCAGUGGGGAAUAUUGGACAAUGGGC
rnacentral:rRNA from 1 species